rnacentral:rRNA from 1 species
UACAGAGGGUGCGAGCGUUAAUCGGAGUUACUGGGCGUAAAGGGCGCGUAGGCGGUGAGAUGGGUGUGAUGUGAAAGCCCUGGGCUUAACCUAGGAAGCGCAUCGCAAACUAUCUGACUGGAGUAUAAGAGAGGGUGGCGGAAUUUCCGGUGUAGCGGUGAAAUGCGUAGAGAUCGGAAGGAACGUCAAUGGCGAAGGCAGCCACCUGGCUUAAUACUGACGCUGAGGCGCGAAAGCGUGGGGAGCGAACAGG